CCCCUUACCAAAAAUGCGAAAAUUGACAAAAAAAAAUUUUUUUUAAAUCGGUAAAAAAGUGAUACGUAUAGUUUGCGUUGCCAAAAAGCUGAACAAAACAGUAAUUCUUUAAGUUCUGCGAUCGUUUUUAGGCGAGUUAUGACAAAAAUCGUCAACAAGUAGAAAAUUGAUGGGAAUCAUUAGAGUUGGUUAUCAGCUGCACAGAACAGUCAUUCUUUUCUAUCUUCGAUCUUUUUUCGAAAACUCAUACAAAAGUUCAACAAAUUGAUUUACCUGCUUUUCGCUAUGUCGUUCCUUGAUUGAGCACUUUUCAAAUGGCAGAGGUUUAAAGAAGCGGCUUAAAACGCCGGCAGAUAGACAACUUCAUUAGAAAACGCGGGGUAUAUUUGCAUGGGAAAUGUCCAAAGGAAGGGGGUGGAUCAUCCACAAGGGAAGGGGGCAGCUGGUGGUGGUGGCAAUCAAGCUGGUAGUCAGGGGCAUCAAAAGCCCGCAUCGAUCACGAAACCACUUUUUGGACCAGUGCCAAUGGCGACUGCGGAGUCACUAGUCACUCGUCACCAAGUGAAUUUGCGGCGCCUCUUUUUCCAGCGAUUUUCCAGCUUAGUGCCCCUUGCCCCUUGCCCCUCCCCCUUGCACUCACCCGGCGACUGGCCACCCGCCCAUGUGGACGUCUAGGUAACAGUAAUUUGGUGUCUUUCUUGUUCUUGCGCGCCGGCAAUCACACCUAUGGGAAUGUCUCUAACACAUGUCCAAACGUCUAUACCAUGAUCAUUACCAGCUGGCAAUGAUCAUGAUCAGCACAACGCAGUGGGAUUCCAGCAUGCACUUUGGACAACAUAUUAGAGAUCCCAUACCAUCCCCAGCAACCUCAAGUUCUCUGGCCCGUCGCAUCAUUAAAAAUUUAUCAGUUGAUUGGAAAAUUAUAAUUCUUUGCCUUUACGCUUUAGCAGCGCUAUGAUUUUUACAAGUCCACCUCUUUUGCCAUCUCAUCUUCCAUCUUUCCUUAUUUUUUUUAUUAUUUUUUAGUAUUUUCUUCUGCCGCACACAACAAUCCCAUUCGCAAUUCGCAAUUGUGCCCGCUGUUAUGUAAUAACUCCCCGUAACUGCCCUCUUAUCGUCCGCCUGUGUCUGGUGUUGUUUCUAUUUCUUAUGGUCACAUUUAAUAACUGACUAACUGACUGACUGACUGACUAUCUGGCUGACUGACUGACUCAUGGCGCUGCUCUGAUGGAUGCACUGCACCAAUCCGAUCCGAUGCCAUCCUAUCCAAUCUGAUCCUAGACCCCACUGGUUCCCCACUCCCCCAACGCACAGCGCAUCGGAAAAUCGCUUUCUUUGCUUUGCUUUUGAUCGGUGUGCUGCUUAAUAUUGCAACCUGAAGGGUAUAUGCGACUAGAUGGUAACUUUAGUUUGGGAAAUUGCUCUUACUUCAAAGUCAAGCAAUAAUGAAAAAAAUCCAAAUAAAGACAAGACAAAACCACAUGGCUGGCUCAUAGGGGAAAUCGACGAUUACAGGAUAUCACCAGGUCGAUCCAGUCGGAGUUUGGCAUUAUUUUUUAUGCGCUGGCUUCUCCACUUAGUUCCAGAUGCGGAAAUAAAUGCACUUGAAUUCCUCAACUUGUUACAUAAAUCGUAAUUUUCUAUAGACUUGUUCUAUAUCUAAUGUAUAUUGCAUUAUUCGCUACUCGUUUUCUCCCAGUUGUUUCUCUUUCUGUUUCUGCGUUGUUUUUCUUUUUAUUAUUAUUAUUAUUAUUUUAUGAUCGCUUAUCUUCUUCGGAGUCUUCUGCUGGUGCUGCUGAUUUUCGCUACCGAAGCUCCGGAGCCGCGAAGAUUUGACCGCGCCAGGUUGAGUCAAGUCAACUUGGGGCAACUCAAGUCGGAAUAUAUGAAUGUCUGGAUGUCUGGAUCGGAGUCCCCCCCUUUCCCCUGUUCGCAUACCCAUUCUCGCGCACUUGAACUUCCUGCAUGACCAAGGCCUCCGGGAGAUCAGCAGAUCAUGUGAACUUUUAUGGCCAUCAUCGGUCAUCGCUCGUCUUGGAUGUAAUUAGGCAUCUUAGCGGUACAGUUCUCGGCUCCGCCAGGCCUCUUAAUUCAUUCGCUUUUUUGCACCCAUGAAAUGCAAAUAAAAUAAGGCACAUUAUUAAGUAUAUAAGUUGUGGGAAUUAUUUUGGCCUCAUCGCAUUCUCAUUUCUUGCAGCUAUGUGCAGCUAGUUCUGUGCAUAUUGUUUUUUUUUUUAAAUGCCUGCCCAGGCUCCACCAAAUAUUGGUUUAACCUGACCCCAUUCUUGGGCCGUCGUAUCCUAUCCGCAGCUCACAUGCCUAAACGUUUCUUAGAGACCUGCGAAAUUCCACAUGUGACAAUUCAGCAUUCAGCAGAUGCCGCGAUGGCGAGAUGGCUCCAAAUGGAAUAGCAAAGUUGACUAAAAGCCUGUCAAUCGCUGAUGUUGCGUGGAAAGAAACACUGAACGCAAUAUUCUGAUAUUUCUCUCAAAAAAUAACUCAGCUAUUGUUCGUUUAUAUAAUAACGCAAAACUAUAGAGCCUUACUAACCAAUUUCUUAUCGAAUUUCAAUUUCCUAAACACUAGAAGAUUCGCUACCUCUUUUUUGUUCACUGUUUCGAAUGGGUUUUGGGAUGAUGUCCUAAGUAGAGGCCCGAAUCUCUGGCAAGCAAUUAGCAAGGCAGGGCCCAGAAGAAAGAUCACCGCAAGACCGCGAUCGGGGGCACCAAUUGCAAUUGGAGAAAAGGGGGAGCAUGGAAUAGGAGCCCAGAAGAAAGCGGCGAACAGGGGUGACUGAGUGGAAGACAGACAGAAGCGGGAUUUAUCAGAGACAGAAGACUGAGCUUGUGAGAGAUGGAGAUGGAGAAAAGCAAUUCUGCGGCUGACGGUUUUCGCAGAAAAUUACAACUUGCGGGUAAACAAAGUCAACUGCCGGCAGUUGAUGGUGGCGGAAUGGAUGGC